UGGGGAAUAUUGGACAAUGGGCGAAAGCCUGAUCCAGCCAUGCCGCGUGUGUGAAGAAGGCCUUCGGGUUGUAAAGCACUUUAAGCGGGGAGGAAGGUUCGGCACCUAAUACGUGUCGGAAUUGACGUUACCCGCAGAAUAAGCACCGGCUAACUCUGUGCCAGCAGCCGCGGUAAUACAGAGGGUGCAAGCGUUAAUCGGAAUUACUGGGCGUAAAGCGCGCGUAGGCGGUUGUGUAAGUUGGAUGUGAAAUCCCCGGGCUUAACCUGGGAACUGCAUUCAAAACUGCACGGCUAGAGUACGGGAGAGGGGGGUAGAAUUCCAGGUGUAGCGGUGAAAUGCGUAGAGAUCUGGAGGAAUACCGAUGGCGAAGGCAGCCCCCUGGCCUGAUACUGACGCU
rnacentral:rRNA from 1 species